CAGUAGGGAGGAAGGUAGUGUAGUUAACACCUGCAUUAUUUGACGUUACCUACAGAAGAAGCACCGGCUAACUCCGUGCCAGCAGCCGCGGUAAUACGGAGGGUGCGAGCGUUAAUCGGAAUUACUGGGCGUAAAGCGCAUGCAGGCGGCCUGUUAAGUCAGAUGUGAAAGACCCGGGGCGUUAACCUCGGAAUUGCAUUUGAAACUGGCAGGCUAGAGUCUUGUAGAGGGGGGUAGGAAGUUUCAGGUGUAGCGGUGAAAUGCGUAGAGAUCUGAAGGAAUACCAGUGGCGAAGGCGGCCCCCUCGGACAAAGACUGACGCUCAGAUGCGAAAGCGUGGGGAGCAAACAGGAUUAGAUACCCUGGUAG
rnacentral:rRNA from 1 species